UUUCAAAUGCGGCAAAGCGCGAGAUUAUUAUGCUCGUGCGGCUGUUAUACUUUUAGCAAAGCACCAAUGCAUCGACGGACAGACCAGUGACUGUUCGUCUGAUCCGGCGUGUAGGAACGACUACCUUGGCAACACUGAAUGUUCUGAAGGGCAGAUCUAUUGCAUGGCAAGUCGACAGUGCGUUAACGAAGAUGGCUCUUGUGUAGCAACC